rnacentral:lncRNA from 1 species
CCUCUGGGAGUGGCUGCCAGGUGAUGCUGUGAACCCUCCCCAAGGGAGGUACCAAAAGCCUGCAUGAAGCAAAAACUGGAAACAAAUAAAGGAGAGUAUUGUGACUUUGCACUAAGUUACUCAUUUAUUCACAUAAUUAAUGAGUUUCUAUUAGUGUUAGGCACCGUUCUAGAUGAUGGUAUAAUUAGUUAACAGAAACCUCAUAACUCUCGCCCCCCAUGGAGCUUACAUUUCCAGGGAGGGAGAGAGAUGAUACAACAAUAAGAAAAUACAGAGCUAAUGUCAUUCUAUAUUGUAUAAUUAUGUAAAAUCAAGCCUGAGUAUUUGACAGCUUCUCAGAUACCACAGAUCUGUUGUUUAAUGAAAUCAGCCUAAAAGAUAAAAUUGUGUAUUUGCAUGUACACAUCACCUUGCCUGUAUUAUGAGUCAGCGUUUCUUCUUAUAAGAAACCACAGCUUGGUAAAAGGUAGAAGCUCAAUUUCCUAAUAAAGAGAUAUGUUUUACUAGGCAGGCUGUUGCACUGCAUAUUACUCUCUCUGACCUUGGCUUUAGUCCAAGGAGGAUUAAACCCAGAAAGAGAAGGGAGUAAAGCAAGGUGUAGCAGAAAAGCAAAACAAAACAAUACAAAAUAACCUCAAAGAAAUUAGUAAAAAUAAUUAGUGCAUUCAGAGAUUAUAUCUUUCUUUCUUUUUUUCCUUUUUUUUUUUCUUUCGAGACGGAGUUUUGCUCUUGUUGCCCAGGCUGGAGUGCAACGGCGCGAUCUCAGCUCACCGCAACCUCCACCUCCCCGGUUCAAGCGACUCUCCUGCCUCAGCCUCCCGAGUAGUUGGGAUUACAGGUGUGUGCCACCACGCCAGGCUAAUUUUGUAUUUUUAGUAGAGACAGGGUUUCUUCAUGUUGGUUAGGCUAGGCUCAAACUCCUGACCUCAGUUGAUCCGCCCGCCUCAGCCUCCCAAAGUGCUGGGAUUACAGACGUUAGCCACCGUGCCCAGCUGAGAUUACAUCUUUUUGAAAGCUAAAUAUAUAUAUAUAACACUGAGUGAAGGAGUUAUGUUUUCAGGUAAGGGCUACUGUUCUUGACAAUCCAUCAUCCAUCCAUCCAUCCAUCCAUCUGUGUAUUCUGGAAGGAGUGAGGAACUCAUGCAAAGACAUAAACAAGUUUACUCUCCAUAGCAAAGAGUUGCCCUGAUACAUGAUUGCUUGCAAACUUAUAUUCAAGUCCUGUGGUGUUUAUUCUGUAGGCUUUGCCAAUAUAGCUGAAUCUUAGGAAAAGACAAACCAAAACAAAAUUGUAACAUAAGCCAUAUUUGUCUUCAGUCCAGCCUUUUUUUCUGUUACUGCACAUUUCCAUACCUUUGCAUUUUCUUUGUAACCCAUAGGCUUGAGUGUUCAGUUUCUUAAAGUGGCUAGAUGUCCCUGUCCACAAUAGACAAAGUCACACCAAAAUCCUAAAAAGAGAAAAUUUGCUUCCCAUCAAAGGCCUGACAUACUUUUGCCAUGAAUGAUAUAGAAAGAUUCUAUAAUAGAUUAAAGGAAGCUCUGGGAAAUUUGUUUUAAAUACAAUCAGUCUUACAUGGACAUAUAUCUUUAAAAUCGACUGCUUGACAUUUUUUCCUUA